GGCCAGACUCCUACGGGAGGCAGCAGUGAGGAAUAUUGGUCAAUGGACGAGAGUCUGAACCAGCCAAGUAGCGUGAAGGAUGACUGCCCUAUGGGUUGUAAACUUCUUUUAUAAAGGAAUAAAACGAGGCACGUGUGCCUUUUUGCAUGUACUUUAUGAAUAAGGAUCGGCUAACUCCGUGCCAGCAGCCGCGGUAAUACGUAGGGGGCAAGCGUUAUCCGGAUUUACUGGGUGUAAAGGGAGCGUAGACGGCUAAUCAAGUCAGAAGUGAAAACCCAGGGCUCAACCUUGGGAGUGCUUUUGAAACUGAGUAGCUAGAGUGCAGGAGAGGUAAGCGGAAUUCCUAGUGUAGCGGUGAAAUGCGUAGAUAUUAGGAGGAACACCAGUGGCGAAGGCGGCUUACUGGACUGUAACUGACGUUGAGGCUCGAAAGCGUGGGGAGCAAACAGGAUUAGAUACCCCGGUAA
rnacentral:rRNA from 1 species